CCUACGGGUGGCUGCAGUGGGGAAUAUUGGACAAUGGGGGCAACCCUGAUCCAGCCAUGCCGCGUGUGUGAAGAAGGCCCUCGGGUUGUAAAGCACUUUCAGUGAGGAAGAACGCCUGGUGGUUAAUACCCAUCAGGAAAGACAUCACUCACAGAAGAAGCACCGGCUAACUCCGUGCCAGCAGCCGCGGUAAUACGGAGGGUGCGAGCGUUAAUCGUAAUUACUGGGCGUAAAGCGCGCGUAGGUGGCUUGAUAAGCCGGUUGUGAAAGCCCCGGGCUCAACCUGGGAACGGCAUCCGGAACUGUCAAGCUAGAGUGCAGGAGAGGAAGGUAGAAUUCCCGGUGUAGCGGUGAAAUGCGUAGAGAUCGGGAGGAAUACCAGUGGCGAGGGCGGCCUUCUGGACUGACACUGACACUGAGGUGCGAAAGCGUGGGUAGCAAACAGGAUUAGAUACCCUGGUAGUC
rnacentral:rRNA from 1 species